AAAUGAGUCUCCUCCACGAACCUAUUGUCAACUUGAACUGUAAUCUGACAAGCUUUAAUUAGAGCUUGAUUGGUUCUCCUUCUACCACCCGCAAACGCAGCGUUUGCGGGUGGUAGCGGUUGUUAGCGAUUGAAAGCAAUCAUAGACACCGCUAGACAUCGCUUUAAACCGCUCGAAAUCGCCCGUUUUCAAAAGCUCCUUCUCGCAAGCGUUUGCGGUUGCGGGCGGUACCGGUUAGGUUAAAAAAAAA
rnacentral:sRNA from 1 species